rnacentral:rRNA from 1 species
CAGUAGCCGCGGGAAUACGAAGGGGGCUAGCGUUGCUCGGAAUGACUGGGCGUAAAGGGCGCGUAGGCGGUUUAUACAGUCAGAUGUGAAAUUCCUGGGCUCAACCUGGGGACUGCAUUUGAUACGUAUGGACUUGAGUGGAGAAGAGGGUCGUGGAAUUUCCAGUGUAGAGGUGAAAUUCGUAGAUAUUGGAAAGAACACCGGUGGCGAAGGCGGCGACCUGGUCUUUAACCGACGCUGAGGCGCGAAAGCGUGGGGAGCAAACAGGAUUAGAUACCCCUGUAGUCCCUGUCUCUUAUAC